rnacentral:rRNA from 1 species
GUUCCCCUUGAACGAGGAAUUCCCAGUAAGCGCGAGUCAUAAGCUCGCGUUGAUUACGUCCCUGCCCUUUGUACACACCGCCCGCCGCUACUACCGAUUGGUCGGCAUUGUGAGCCCCUCGGAUUGGACCCGGCAUCGUGGGAAACUUCGAAGCCGGUGCGCCGAGAAGAAGGGCAAACAGUUCUGACUAGAGGAAGUAAAAGUCGUAACAAGGUUUCCGUAGGUGAACCUGCGGAAGGAUCA